rnacentral:misc_RNA from 1 species
UUCUUUUCAGCUUCUGAAGGUUUCACCAUCACUGGUUGACCAAGAAGAGGCUGCCCAGAGAGAGCUAUGGCCAUAGGGACUGACAUCACAUCAUAGAACUCAAUAUACCCAACUCCCUUUGAACGUCUUGAGUUGCGAUCCGUUAUGAGGCGUACAUCUCGCACCUUGCCAGCCCUUGAGAAAAACUCAUAGACAUCUCUUUCAUCUGCCUUCAAAGAUAUCUGAUAAGCAAAUACUGUUCGUUGAUCACGUUCAGGGUCAGCUUCAGGCUCUGUAACUUCUUCCUUUUUUUCUUUAUGUCUUCUGCUUUCUCUAUCCAGUUCCCUCGACUCCGUCUCCCUUUCUUUAUACUUCAUGUCUCGGAUCCUCUCUCUGUCCCUUUCAUCCAAAUCAAUUCGAUGCCUUUCUGACCAGCUCCUGCUUCGACGUGACUGCUCUCUUUCCCCCUCCUUGUCCCUUUCACUAUCACGAUCAUGCUCUCGAUCUCUAAGCCUGUCCCUCUCUUUCCCAUUUCUUUCCUCCCUAUCUCCACCUCUGUCUCUAUCUCUAUGUUCCCGACUACUACGGAGUCGGUCCUUAUCACCAUCUUUAGAUCGUGAGAGAUGACGAGAAGAGCCCUUUUCUUUAUGCCGGUCACGAUCACGAAAUUCAUCUCCAGAUUUUACGCGCUUUGAGCGAUGAUCAUCAUCCCCAUCAUCCUUCUCACUGAUCUUGUGUUUUGAACUCCAACUGCUAUAUUUAUUCCCAGGCUUCGUGGCAUCACCAACACCAUUGGCAGUUUCCUUCACUUUAUGGAGUUCAGGGUUUUCAACUGUUUUCUCCAGGUAAUCAUACUCAUCAAAAUCCAUUUUAACUAUAGUCUAAUCAGACAAGCAACCUUGCAAGUAAAUUUUAUUACAGCUCUAGAU